UACGAGGGGGGCGAGCGUUGUUCGGAAUUAUUGGGCGUAAAGGGUGCGUAGGCGGUUUGGUAAGUCUUGUGUGAAAUCUACAGGCUCAACUUGUAGUCUGCACGAGAAACUGCCGGGCUUGAGUAUGGGGAGAGGUGAGUGGAAUUCCUGGUGUAGCGGUGAAAUGCGUAGAUAUCAGGAGGAACACCUGUGGCGAAAGCGGCUCACUGGACCAUAACUGACGCUGAUGCACGAAAGCUAGGGGAGCAAACAGG
rnacentral:rRNA from 1 species